rnacentral:misc_RNA from 1 species
CUUUUGCAUUAUUCUUCUCAGUUAAGUUGCUUCCUUCAUCAUUGGCUUCCGUCAAAUCUGUCUGAUGGAUAUUAAUAGUGGAUAAAGAAGGUGUCUUGGUCACUGAUAUGAGCUCCGAAAGCGCAGAGAGGUCUGAGAUACGAGGGAGAAAAACAUUGGACGUUAAACUCUCUCGUGACAUGUGAUGAUCUUCUAAAGGGUUGG